rfam:Coniochaeta ligniaria NRRL 30616 unplaced genomic scaffold CONLIGscaffold_3, whole genome shotgun sequence.
GGCCUCGUGGCGCAAUGGUAGCGCGUUGCUUUCCGGUUAGUCUUCCACUGCUGGCAGAGGUUGCAGGUUCGAGUCCUGCCGGGGUCG